rnacentral:rRNA from 1 species
CCUACGGGGGGCUGCAGUGGGGAAUAUUGCACAAUGGGCGCAAGCCUGAUGCAGCCAUGCCGCGUGUGUGAAGAAGGCCUUCGGGUUGUAAAGCACUUUCAGCGGGGAGGAAGGCGGUGAGGUUAAUAACCUCAUCGAUUGACGUUACCCGCAGAAGAAGCACCGGCUAACUCCGUGCCAGCAGCCGCGGUAAUACGGAGGGUGCAAGCGUUAAUCGGAAUUACUGGGCGUAAAGCGCACGCAGGCGGUCUGUCAAGUCGGAUGUGAAAUCCCCGGGCUCAACCUGGGAACUGCAUUCGAAACUGGCAGGCUAGAGUCUUGUAGAGGGGGGUAGAAUUCCAGGUGUAGCGGUGAAAUGCGUAGAGAUCGGGAGGAACACCGGUGGCGAAGGCGGCCCCCUGGACAAAGACUGACGCUCAGGUGCGAAAGCGUGGGGAGCAAACAGGAUUAGAUACCCCGGUAGUC